UCUUGGUCAUUUAGAGGAAGUAAAAGUCGUAACAAGGUUUCCGUAGGUGAACCUGCGGAAGGAUCAUUAUAGAAUAAACAUUGUCUAGGUUGCUGCUGGCUUCUAGGAGCAUGUGCACGCCUGACGCCGUUUUCUUACCACCUGUGCACCUUUUGUAGACCUAUGAGAUGUAUAUUUAAAGGGACUGUUGAGCGAAAGUUCACUAUUCCUUUGCAUAUUAUUUCUAGUCUACGUCUUUAUCAUAUACCCUUUAAAAACAAGUAACAGAAUGUAUAUUAAUUGGCCCUUGUGCCUUUAAACAAAAUACAACUUUCAACAACGGAUCUCUUGGCUCUCGCAUCGAUGAAGAACGCAGCGAAAUGCGAUAAGUAAUGUGAAUUGCAGAAUUCAGUGAAUCAUCGAAUCUUUGAACGCACCUUGCGCUCCUUGGUAUUCCGAGGAGCAUGCCUGUUUGAGUGUCAUUAAAUUAAUCAAUCCUUACAGUUUUGUUACUGUUAAGGACUUGGAUUGUGGAGGUUUGCGGGCUUUCUAAGAAGUCGGCUCCUCUUAAAAGCAUGAGUGAAACCUUUGUUAACAAUCUCUAGUGUGAUAAUUAUCUACGCUAUUGAUAUUAAUAAGGAUUUGCUUUCUAACUGUCUUUACUUUGAAGACAAUUUAUUGACCAAUUUGACCUCAAAUCAGGUAGGACUACCCGCUGAACUUAAGCAUAUCAAUAAG
rnacentral:rRNA from 1 species